CCUACGGGCGGCAGCAGUGGGGAAUAUUGGACAAUGGGCGAAAGCCUGAUCCAGCCAUGCCGCGUGUGUGAAGAAGGCCUUCGGGUUGUAAAGCACUUUCAGUGGGGAAGAAAGCCUUGGGGCUAAUACCCUCGAGGAAGGACAUCACCCACAGAAGAAGCACCGGCUAACUCCGUGCCAGCAGCCGCGGUAAUACGGAGGGUGCGAGCGUUAAUCGGAAUUACUGGGCGUAAAGCGCGCGUAGGCGGUCUGAUAAGCCGGUUGUGAAAGCCCCGGGCUCAACCUGGGAACGGCAUCCGGAACUGUCAGGCUAGAGUGCAGGAGAGGAAGGUAGAAUUCCCGGUGUAGCGGUGCAAUGCGUAGAGAUCGGGAGGAAUACCAGUGGCGAAGGCGGCCUUCUGGACUGACACUGACGCUGAGGUGCGAAAGCGUGGGUAGCAAACAGGAUUAGAUACCCGAGUAGUC
rnacentral:rRNA from 1 species